rnacentral:lncRNA from 1 species
CUUUUUUAAGUUUGACUCAAAACAGUUUUGCUCAUCUACAAACAUUUGCAAUCAUGCAGCCAAAAAGGACUCUCUGGUAGAGUUCGAGCAUUCAUUUUGUUUCUCUGACAACAUUUUCUUUAGGAAAAUACACAGCUGUCCUAACGAAUUUUGGGAACAGGAGAUUGUCACUGCAUUUGCAGAAAUGUACAGGAGCAGAUUGAGGCUCUUUUACCAAAGGACUAAAAUAAGGAAUUUCCAUGGUGUGAAGGAUUUCCCCGUGGGUGCAGACUGGGCAUGAAAGGUCCUCUGGAGGGGUGGAAGAAAAGACUUCCUGCUGCCUCAAGUGGAAACCUCCUUCAGAAGGACAGGUGCCUGAUGGAAGAUCUAGGAGUUGCUUACUUGUAUAACAAGGAGCAGGGUAUGCUGCUAGGAAGAUCAAGUUUCACCUUUUGGAGUCAAAGGACUGUGUUUGAUAGCAAAAGAUUUGCUUCCUUUGCUAGUGAUGUUGUUUGCCUUUUUUACAAGAGAAUAAAAAUACUAUUCCUUUAAGAAAAGACCUUCUUGGCUAUUGUUGUUGUUAUCUGCUGAAUCAUGCCAAUAACUGUUUAUUUUAGCAUUCCUAGAGAAUUUUAGAGUUCAUUUACUUCCCCUUCUCCAGAAAGCAGUUAGGAAAAACUGUGUAAUUUCAUAAAUAAAAUAAAACCAAGGAGUUUUUAGUUGAAAGCA